GACGAACGCUGGCGGCGUGCUUAACACAUGCAAGUCGAACGGAAAGGCCCUGCUUUUGUGGGGUGCUCGAGUGGCGAACGGGUGAGUAACACGUGAGUAACCUGCCCUUGACUUUGGGAUAACUUCAGGAAACUGGGGCUAAUACCGGAUAGGAGCUCCUGCUGCAUGGUGGGGGUUGGAAAGUUUCGGCGGUUGGGGAUGGACUCGCGGCUUAUCAGCUUGUUGGUGGGGCAGUGGCUUACCAAGGCUUUGACUGGUAGCCGGCCUGAGAGGGUGACCGGCCACAUUGGGACUGAGAUACGGCCCAGACUCCUACGGGAGGCAGCAGUGGGGAAUAUUGCACAAUGGGCGGAAGCCUGAUGCAGCAACGCCGCGUGCGGGAUGACGGCCUUCGGGUUGUAAACCGCUUUCGCCUGUGACGAAGCGUGAGUGACGGUAAUGGGUAAAGAAGCACCGGCUAACUACGUG
rnacentral:rRNA from 1 species